UACGUAGGGGGCUAGCGUUAUCCAGAAUUACUGGGCGUAAAGCGCGUGUAGGCGGCUGGUUAAGUGUGAUGUGAAAUCUUCGGGCUCAACCCGAAAACUGCAUUGCAAACUGGCCUGGCUAGAGUGCAGGAGAGGGAAGCGGAAUUCCAGGUGUAGCGGUGAAAUGCGCAGAUAUCAGGAGGAACACCGAUUGCGAAGGCAGCUCGCUGGAACGUAACUGACGCUGAGACGCGAAAGCGUGGGGAGCAAACAGG
rnacentral:rRNA from 1 species